rnacentral:snRNA from 1 species
AAAUGAUGCGAUUUUUGGAUU